AUUGAACGCUGGCGGCAGGCCUAACACAUGCAAGUCGAACGAGUGGCGGACGGGUGAGUAAUGUCUGGGAAACUGCCUGAUGGAGGGGGAUAACUACUGGAAACGGUAGCUAAUACCGCAUACUAUCGGAUGUGCCCAGAUGGGAUGAGCGUGGGGGUGGGGUAACGGCUCACCAAGGCGACGAUCCCUAGCUGGUCUGAGAGGAUGACCAGCCACACUGGAACUGAGCCACGGUCCAGACUCCUACGGGAGGCAGCAGUGGGGAAGAUUGCACAAUGGGCGCAAGCCUGAUGCAGCCAUGCCGCGUGUAUGAAGAAGGCCUUCGGGUUGUAAAGUACUUUCAGCGGGGAGGCGUUACCCGCAGAAGAAGCACCGGCUAACUCCGUGCCAGCAGCCGCGGUAAUUC
rnacentral:rRNA from 1 species